CUUCAGUAACAGUGAGCAUUGCAGAUAAACUGAAAUAUCAUCCUGGACAUGAUGCUUUUUUUGCUCUUCUUACUCUGUUCUCAUGUGGGUGUGAGUUUUGGGAAUGAUAUCACACCAGUUGAAACUCAUAUGUCUGGGACAGAAGGAGACGUUAUAAAUCUGUCCUGUAGCUAUUCUUCAGCAAACAGCCUGUACUGGUAUCGUCAGUAUCCUGGAUCAGCUCCUGAAUUUCUUUACCUUAUUCUUGAUGCCACUGGGGCAGUUUUACAAAAAUCUAAAGUUGUGGAUCAAGAUAGUCGGUUCUCUGCCAAACUGAAUGAAAAGAAAACCCAUCUUAACUUGGAGAUCUCCUCUGUUAAAGUGACAGACUCUGCUCUGUACUACUGUGCCCUGGAGCCCACAGUGACAGGAAAACAAACUACACUGUACAAAAACCUCACUUACUGUACUGUGGGAAAACUUUGA